AUUGAACGCUGGCGGCAGGCCUAACACAUGCAAGUCGAACGAGAGGCGGACGGGUGAGUAAUGUCUGGGAAACUGCCCGAUGGAGGGGGAUAACUACUGGAAACGGUGGCUAAUACCGCAUACCAUCGGAUGUGCCCAGAUGGGGUUAGCUGGUAGGUGGGGUAACGGGUCACCUAGGAGACGAUCCAUCGCGGGGCUGAGAGGAUGACCAGCCACACUGGAACUGAGACACGGUCAGACCUCCUACGGGGGGCAGCAGUGGGGAAUAUUGGACAAGGGGCGCAAGCCGGAUGCAGCAAUGCUGCGUGUAUGAGGAAGGCCUUCGGGUUGUAAAGUACUUUCAGCGAGGAGGCGUUACUCGCAGAAGAAGCACCGGCUAACUCCGUGCCAGCAGCCGCGGUAAUUC
rnacentral:rRNA from 1 species